rnacentral:rRNA from 1 species
CAUGCAAGUCGAGGGGUAACAGGGGAGAGCUUGCUUUCCCGCUGACGACCGGCGAACGGGUGCGUAACACGUAUGCAACCUACCCUUCACAGGAGGACAGCCCCGAGAAAUCGGGAUUAAUACUCCAUAACAUCACGGAUUCGCAUGUUUCUGUGAUCAAAGUUCCGGCGGUGAAGGAUGGGCAUGCGGCCUAUUAGUUUGUUGGUGAGGUAACGGCUCACCAAGACUACGACAGGUAGGGGGUCUGAGAGGAUGAUCCCCCACACUGGUACUGAGACACGGACCAGACUCCUACGGGAGGCAGCAGUGAGGAAUAUUGGUCAAUGGACGAAAGUCUGAACCAGCCAUGCCGCGUGCAGGAAGACUGCCCUACGGGUUGUAAACUGCUUUUAUGUGGGAAUAAACCCCUGGAUUCUUCCGGGGCUGAAGGUACCACACGAAUAAGGAUCGGCUAACUCCGUGCCAGCAGCCGCGGUAAUACGGAGGAUCCAAGCGUUAUCCGGAUUUAUUGGGUUUAAAGGGUCCGUAGGCGGGACAUUAAGUCAGUGGUGAAAGCCUUCAGCUUAACUGGAGAAUUGCCAUUGAUACUGAUGUUCUUGAGUACACCUGAAGUGGGCGGAAUGUGUCAUGUAGCGGUGAAAUGCAUAGAUAUGACACAGAACACCGAUUGCGAAGGCAGCUCACUAAAGUGUAACUGACGCUGAGGGACGAAAGCGUGGGGAGCGAACAGGAUUAGAUACCCUGGUAGUCCACGCCGUAAACGAUGAUCACUCGAUAUUGGCUUCGGUCAGUGUCCAAGCGAAAGUGAUAAGUGAUCCACCUGGGGAGUACGCCGGCAACGGUGAAACUCAAAGGAAUUGACGGGGGCCCGCACAAGCGGUGGAGCAUGUGGUUUAAUUCGAUGAUACGCGAGGAACCUUACCAGGGCUUAAAUGCAGAACGACCGGCGUGGAAACACGCCUUUCUUCGG